rnacentral:rRNA from 2 species
UUAUCGGAGAGUUUGAUCCUGGCUCAGGACGAACGCUGGCGGCGUGCCUAAUACAUGCAAGUCGAGCGAACAGAUGGGAGCUUGCUCCCUGAUGUUAGCGGCGGACGGGUGAGUAACACGUGGGUAACCUGCCUGUAAGACUGGGAUAACUCCGGGAAACCGGGGCUAAUACCGGAUGGUUGUUUGAACCGCAUGG